GAUGAAGAACGUAGCGAAAUGCGAUAAGUAGUGUGAAUUGCAGAAUUCAGUGAAUCAUCGAAUCUUUGAACGCUCAUUGCGCCUUCUAGUAUUCUGGGAGGCAUGCCUGUUUGAGCGUCAUUAAACCUCUCUCAAGUAUGAUUACUUGGAUGUGAAGGAAGAGUACCUUAAACUUAAGGAGUGUUCUCCUUUGAAAUUGAUUAGCAGAUGGUAAUGUUAUUAAAUCCCUGAUGUUGUAAGAAAUAAAAGUGGUUUUGUAGACUAUUAUCUAGCUUUAAAUUAUAAUUUUUAUUAUGGUUGACCUCAAAUCAGGUAAGGAUACCCGCUGAACUUAAGCAUAUCAAUAAGCGGAGGA
rnacentral:misc_RNA from 1 species